GGUAACAGAUCCAGCUUGCUGGAUGCUGACGAGCGGCGGACGGGUGAGUAAUGCAUAGGAAUCUGCCCGAUAGUGGGGGAUAACCUGGGGAAACCCAGGCUAAUACCGCAUACGUCCUACGGGAGAAAGGGGGCUCCGGCUCCCGCUAUGGGAUGAGCCUAUGUCGGAUUAGCUAGUUGGUGAGGUAACGGCUCACCAAGGCCACGAUCCGUAGCUGGUCUGAGAGGAUGAUCAGCCACAUCGGGACUGAGACACGGCCCGAACUCCUACGGGAGGCAGCAGUGGGGAAUAUUGGACAAUGGGGGCAACCCUGAUCCAGCCAUGCCGCGUGUGUGAAGAAGGCCCUCGGGUUGUAAAGCACUUUCAGCGAGGAAGAACGCCUAGCGGUUAAUACCCGCUAGGAAAGACAUCACUCGCAGAAGAAGCACCGGCUAACUCCGUGCCAGCAGCCGCGGUAAUACGGAGGGUGCAAGCGUUAAUCGGAAUUACUGGGCGUAAAGCGCGCGUAGGUGGCUUGAUAAGCCGGUUGUGAAAGCCCCGGGCUCAACCUGGGAACGGCAUCCGGAACUGUCAAGCUAGAGUGCAGGAGAGGAAGGUAGAAUUCCCGGUGUAGCGGUGAAAUGCGUAGAGAUCGGGAGGAAUACCAGUGGCGAAGGCGGCCUUCUGGACUGACACUGACACUGAGGUGCGAAAGCGUGGGUAGCAAACAGGAUUAGAUACCCUGGUAGUCCACGCCGUAAACGAUGUCGACCAGCCGUUGGGUGCCUAGCGCACUUUGUGGCGAAGUU
rnacentral:rRNA from 1 species